GCCGACAAUUUUGCCGCUGAACAUGGGGAGUGAGAAGGAUGUCCCUUGCUCGGUGCCAAAAGGCCCGUACUUGGAGCAGUUGCUCUCAAAGGUAAGUGAUCUUAUGACAACUGAAGAUCCCACUGCACCAUAGCAGCCACUGAUAGAUGUGAGAACUUCCUCAGGGUAGUUAAGUUUCACCUGUUGGAAACGUACACAUUGUAUCAGUAAAACUAACAUGUUACACUCAACAACUGAGCGAAUUGCAAGAACUGUCUAAUCAAAAGACCAGUUUUGUCUAACUGUACAAAAACGAAGGCAUAUUUUAUUAGCACACUAUAAAAAAACUGAAUGAGUCUACUCUUCCACAAAACCAAUGGCAACUUGUUUGCAUCUCAAAUGUUUGAUAUCACUGUCAAAUAUCCAAACAACAACAGAGUUCACUGUACCAACUUGUGCAAGUAGACAGUACUGCCAUCUUAUCUAAUGUAUCUUAUAUAUAUAUAAUAAGUGCUAUUAUUUCUAUGUAUAGGCUUCAAAUAUCACAGCAGCCUAAUAGUAACAGGAAACUAGUAAACCGAACCUGAUCAGUUUUUGAGCCUCCAUCACUAGUCCCAUGCUUCUCUGACCAGACUAAGCCUCCUCUCAGCUCAUACUCGAACUGUAUGGAAUCAAUGGCCGCACCAUGACUGAUAAUGAUCUGGCACACUGCAGAGUUAACACCAUCGUCCCAUAGAUCUCCUCCUAGACCUCCCCAUGGCCCGAUCGUCAUUAAAUUCUUCCCAGAUGAACCUUUGAAGUUCUGUUCAACACAAACACAUUGAGAUUUCCAUCGAAGAUAAUAAGGAGCAACUAAAAUCAGAAUGUUCAGCUCAUGAUGCAUCAUCAGACUAAAAUAGUGCCAUCCCUGAUCACUCUAAUCAAUAUAUGCCACUCUUCUAAUCGAAAUUAGAUGGAUGGACAGGAAUCCUUUUAGCACGCUGAACCACCCAUAGUUGGCUCGCAAUGUCUAGGUGAAGUCAGACCAUAGUUCUCCUAGACAUUGCGAGCGAACUAUGGUCUGGUUGAGCAAUAGAAAACUUUUGGAUAGAUUUUUCAUAUUUUAUAUAAAUAUAAGAUGUCAAUCUGAUCCCAUAAGACAUAGCUAAUCUACUCAUUCGAAAUUUAGAACAUCUUAUAUCCUGAACAAUUUUAGAACAUCAUUUCUAAACGGUACAGAUAUGCAAAAGCUCUUCCCGACCAACAGAUUGCAUCAAACGAGCUUCCUUCACUUGUUCUCAGCAUAUGAACGGCUAACAAAACGCAUACAGGUAAAAACAGUCCAAUCGUCCAAGAAACAGGAAGGAGGUGGUACCAUGUUCUGCAGGAAAAAACAAAGCCCAAACACUUGAUCACCGAGAGAAUUAACACUGUACCAAGUGGUUCGUAGUGAUGGUUGAUGAUGAGCUUACCAGGAAGACAAGGAACAAGUCAUCCGUCUAUUUAUAGAGGAACGAACACGCAGAACAGAGUCCCACAAAAAGAGCAGGCACGGACAUGGAGCCGUCACAAUUUCACAAGCUGGCAGCAGCACUAACGGUUCAAGAAACCUGAAAGCUACCGAAGAACUCGAUUCGCUGACAUCGGUGAUCGUUGAAAUCUCUUGGGUUCAUUCACUACUGAGAGGCCGAAAGAAACGAUGCCGGUAAGCGGCAAUCUGUUUGCCACCGCUCGCUCUCAGAUCCCACUUUUACCAUCAACUUUGCAUCAGUGCUGUCCUGGCGUUGGCGUUGGCGACGCACAGCCAAAGCAGCCCGCCGCACCCCCUUUAUUCUGUUUCCCCCAACAUGUGGUUCUCUUUUCGAAAUUCGGGUUUUAGUUACACUGAAAAUGGUGAGCAAGGCAGUACAGAAUGAUUAAGGGGUCACUCGAGAUGAGGGGAAUCUGUUUUGGGAUUUUUAGUAUUUAUCACUACAAAUUCCAAAUUUAACAAACGGAUUUCAAGUAUAGUUUUGGAAAAGUCGAUGAGAAAGGUUAUUCGUAGGCAAGCCAUGUGAUCGAAGCUUGAAUCAGGCUUCGCUGCGAGCAUCUCCAAGGGUUUUGCAUUUGAGAUUUGCAUUUGAGUAAUUUGCCAAAAAGCUCCAAAAGGAGUAUCCAACGGUUUUGUAUUUGGAGUUUGCAAUUUGGACAACUUGGUAAAUAAGGAAGCAAACUUGGCAAAAAUGCCAAGUUGUAGACGGCUUUGCAAAUCUGAUCACGCGUGCAAAGUCAUGCGCAAGGAAAGCGCGAGCGCCUGGAGACCUCCUAUUUUUAUCCUUUGCCAAGUCCAAAUAUCAAUUCCCUUGGAGAUGGCCUAUUUUUAUUCUUUGCAUUUUGUUAUGGGAGUUUGCAAACAACAACAAAUGCCAAGUCAAUUUGCCAAAGCCUUUAGAGAUGCUCUGGCCACACUAAUGAUGUUGUUAGCGAGUGUCCAAUGCAUAUUGAGUGCUACUCUCCCAGUUGCAAACUAUAGUUGACUUUGAUUCCCAGUUGCAAAUUAUAGUUGACUUUGGUUCAAACUUCUCCAACUUUGAUCAAGUUUUGUUAAAAAAAAUCAACAUCUACGAGUGAAAUAAGUACAACAUAUAUUUGAUGAAGAGUUGAAUAAAACUAAUUUGAUGCUCUAGAUGUUUGAAAAUUUAUAUAUUUUUUUAAAGUCAGGGGGGAGGGGGGGGGGGGACGGGGACGUUCCUCACCUGAAUUUAUAUAAAUAAGAUGGCCCAAAACGGCCCCAAGUACAAAAUUACAAUUUCAAUUUCAUUGAAACACGAGCUGUGUACAAAAUCUAGCCAAGCCUAGCCAUUUCAAAAAGCUCACAUGCUUCUUCUUCGUUUUGAAUCUUGAUCGCCAAAGCUCAGCAGUCGACUUGCAAGACAGUAGCAACUGGAGGAAAAUUUAUGUGUAAAUAUGAUAGAAGUUAAAAUAAGUUAGAACAAAGCCAAAGUGAACUAUAAUUUAGAUCCUAGAAAGGAAGUAGUGUCAGGGUGGUAUUUCGAAAUAGAUUGAUGCAUGUUUGUAGUUCAUUUAAGAUACGUUACAGUACGUGUGGGUGGGUGGGUGGGGAGGGGGGGGGGGGGGGCGUUGAGACAGCACAGCUCUACUACUUUCAUCGCAAAUACCAUCGCCGUUACGAACGCAUCCAUUCAGAGUUCGGACUACCCCUAGCUCUGCACAGCCUGCAUAGGCGGACAUGUAGUAGUAAAGGACCAAUUACAACACAUACCACACAGCAAACCGAAUCAAACUGAGCUUAUGGAACGAAUGCACAGAAUAGCUCAACAGGUCAUAUGUACAUGCUUUUGUCAUAUCAAGGUAGAGAGACGUGAAACAAAAUGUCAAUCAAGGAAGCAGACCACAUACAGUACAGCAUCCUCCUUUCAAAGUACUAAACCAUUGCAACUGUAUAAGUGGUGGCAAGAACACGUUUUGUAUAAACUGCUUCAUCGGUUAUGCACUCCGUAAGGGUACAUGUGCCUGAUGGCCUGCAGAGGUGGUACCUUUUCUGAAGAAUUGACCAUUUGCGCUUUUACUUGCUCAGAGAGGCCUUCAAAGAAAAUGGUGGGUAAGAAUCCUGCUCGAAGAGUUCCAAAUGUCAUGUAUGCCGCAAGAUGUAGAAUACCAAAACUAACAGUUGAAUUCAAGUGGACUGGUAAGCAGCGAGAACUUGAGAACAGAAGAUACGAAAUCAGCCCUCACAUUGAACAUCAUAUGGCCUGUCCGUUGCGAUCGAAGGGAACCUUCAUGGAAGGUAUCCCUAGUCCCUGGGUUAAAUUGACUUGUUGGACACUGGUGUAUAUUCCAUCAUCAAAUAUGGUACCACUGUUUCCACCAGGGACCAAAUCUCACUGGAGUGCUUAUAGUCAUGGUCCCAUUAUCCGAGUGGAAACUUGGAAUUGAUACCAUCUGCAGUGUAAAAUUCACAACCUGAAUUGGCUUUUGUAGCUACAGUUACUAUAACUAGAAAAUGAAUACCCUGAAUAUGAGACAUUUCAAUUUUUUUUAAUAACAAUGUACCGUUGGUGAUACCUUGCUCAUCUUAGAUGGAUUAUUAGGAUACUGCUCCUUCGGAACACUGCUGGCCAGGACAUUGUAGUUGUCACCUCUGUCCUUCACUGCAAGAAUCAUGUCAUACCCAGCACUGCUAUCUGCAUACCUGUGACCGUUCCUGUCAUAAGAUCUUAUGAUGGUUGGCGCAUUUUUUGACAGCUUGGUUGUGUUCUCUUUGUUGAGAUGGCAACCUAUGGAGUGGAGGCACGUUCCGGAUCGGCCGUGAAAGCCGACGAUCUUGCCGGUGAACACCGGGAGUGAGAAGGAUGUCCCUUGCUCGGUGCCAAAAGGCCCGUACUUGGAGCAGUUGCUCUCAAAGGUAAGUGAUCUUAUGACAACUGAAGCUCCCAGGGCACCAUAGCAGCCACUGAUAGAUGUGAGAACUUCCUCAGGGUAAUUAAGUUUCACCUGUUGGAAACGUACACAUUUUUAAUGGUCACAUUACAGUAAAACUAACAUGUUGUACUUAUCUAUUGAACAAAUUACAAGAACUGUCCAAUCAAAGAUUAGUUUUGUCUAACUGUACAAAAAUAAUGAAGGUUUGUGUUAUUAGCAAACCAUAAGAAAACUGAAUGCAUAUCUACUGUUUUACAAAACAAAUGGCAGAUGUUGUUUGCACCUCAAAUGUUUUAGAUCAUUGUCAAAUAUCCAAACAACAACAGAGCUCACUGUACAAACUUGUGCAAGUAGAUAUUUGACAAUACUGCCAUCUUAUCUUAUAUAUAAUAGUGCUAAUAUUUCUAUGUAUAUCACAGCAGCCUAACAGUAAUAGGAAACUAGC
rnacentral:lncRNA from 1 species